AUUGAACGCUGGCGGUAUGCUUAACACAUGCAAGUCGAACGGCAGCAUGGUCUAGCUUGCUAGACUGAUGGCGAGUGGCGGACGGGUGAGUAACGCGUAGGAAUAUGCCUUGAAGAGUGGGACAACUUGGGGAAACUCAAGCUAAUACCGCAUGUACUCGAGAGAGUAAAGCUGGGGACCUUUAGGCCUGGCGCUUUAAGAUUAGCCUGCGUCCGAUUAGCUAGUUGGUAGGGUAAAGGCCUACCAAGGCGACGGUCGGUAGCUGGUCUGAGAGGAUGAUCAGCCACACUGGAACUGAGAGACGGUCCAGACUCCUACGGGAGGCAGCAGUGGGGAAUAUUGGACAAUGGGGGGGGCCCUGAUCCAGCAAUGCCGCGUGUGUGAAGAAGGCCUGAGGGUUGUAAAGCACUUUCAGUGGGGAGGAGGUUUGGAAGGUUAAGAGCUAUUCAAAUGGACGUUACCCACAGAAGAAGCACCGGCUAACUCCGUGCCAGCAGCCGCAGUAA
rnacentral:rRNA from 1 species